AGGCAGCAGUGGGGAAUUUUUGUCAAUGGGGGAAACCCUGAACAAGCAACGCCGCGUGGAGGAUGAAGGCCUUCGGGUCGUAAACUCCUGUCGGAGGGGACGAAAGCGGCUGGGGCGAAUAACCCCAGUUGUUGACGGUACCCUAGGAGGAAGCCCCGGCUAACUCCGUGCCAGCAGCCGCGGUAAUACGGGGGGGGCAAGCGUUGUUCGGAAUUACUGGGCGUAAAGGGCGCGCAGGCGGCCCGGCAAGUCCUUCGUGAAAUCCCACGGCUCAACUGUGGAACUGCGGCGGAUACUGCUGGGCUUGAGUCCGGGAGAGGGGAGUGGAAUUCCCAGUGUAGCGGUGAAAUGCGUAGAUAUUGGGAGGAACACCGGUGGCGAAGGCGGCUCCCUGGACCGGUACUGACGCUGAGGCGCGAAAGCUAGGGGAGCAAACGGGAUUAGAUACCCCGGUAGUCCUAGCUGUAAACGUUGAGCACUUGGUGUGGCGGGUGUCGACCCCUGCCGUGCCGAAGCUAACGCAUUAAGUGCUCCGCCUGGGGAGUACGGUCGCAAGGCUGAAACUCAAAUGAAUUGACGG
rnacentral:rRNA from 1 species